rnacentral:rRNA from 1 species
GACGAACGCUGGCGGCGUGCCUAAUACAUGCAAGUCGAACGAGAGCGACCGGUGCUUGCACUGGUCAAUCUAGUGGCGAACGGGUGAGUAACACGUGGGUAACCUGCCCAUCAGAGGGGGAUAACAUUCGGAAACGGAUGCUAAUACCGCAUAGGUCUUCGAACCGCAUGGUUUGAAGAGGAAAAGAGGCGCAAGCUUCUGCUGAUGGAUGGACCCGCGGUGCAUUAGCUAGUUGGUGAGGUAACGGCUCACCAAGGCCGUGAUGCAUAGCCGACCUGAGAGGGUGAUCGGCCACAUUGGGACUGAGACACGGCCCAAACUCCUACGGGAGGCAGCAGUAGGGAAUCUUCCGCAAUGGACGCAAGUCUGACGGAGCAACGCCGCGUGAGUGAAGAAGGUGUUCGGAUCGUAAAACUCUGUUGUUAGAGAAGAAUAAGUGCUAGAGUAACUGUUAGCGCCUUGACGGUAUCUAACCAGAAAGCCACGGCUAACUACGUG